rnacentral:rRNA from 1 species
GACGAACGCUGGCGGCGUGCUUAACACAUGCAAGUCGAACGGAAAGGCCCUGCUUUUGUGGGGUGCUCGAGUGGCGAACGGGUGAGUAACACGUGAGUAACCUGCCCUUGACUUGGGAUAACUUCAGGAAACCGGGGCUAAUACCGGAUAGGAGCCUCUGCUUCAUGGUUGGGGUUGGAAAGUUUCGGCGGUUGGGGAUGGACUCGCGGCUUAUCAGCUUGUUGGUGGGGUAGUGGCUUACCAAGGCUUUGACAGGUAGCCGGCCUGAGAGGGUGACCGGCCACAUUGGGACUGAGAUACGGCCCAGACUCCUACGGGAGGCAGCAGUGGGGAAUAUUGCACAAUGGGCGGAAGCCUGAUGCAGCAACGCCGCGUGCGGGAUGACGGCCUUCGGGUUGUAAACCGCUUUCGCCUGUGACGAAGCGUGAGUGACGGUAAUGGGUAAAGAAGCACCGGCUAACUACGUG